rnacentral:rRNA from 1 species
UACGUAGGGGGCAAGCGUUGUCCGGAUUUAUUGGGCGUAAAGAGCGUGUAGGCGGCCAGGUAGGUCCGCUGUGAAAACUUGAGGCUCAACCUCGAGAUGUCGGCGGAAACCCCCUGGCUAGAGUCCGGGAGAGGAGAGUGGAAUUCCCGGUGUAGCGGUGAAAUGCGCAGAUAUCGGGAAGAACACCCGUGGCGAAGGCGGCUCUCUGGGACGGUACUGACGCUGAGACGCGAAAGCGUGGGGAGCGAACAGG